rnacentral:rRNA from 1 species
GACAGAGGCCUCAAGCGUUAGGCGGAAUCACUGGGCUUAAAGCGUGUGUAGGCGGAUCGUUAAGUGUCUUGUGAAAUCCCACGGCUCACCCGUGGAACGGCUGGGCAUACUGGCGAUCUUGGGCCAACUAGGGGCAACUGGAACAAGCGGUGGAGCGGUGAAAUGCGUAGAUAUCGCUUGGAACGCCAAAGGUGAAAACCAGGUUGCUGGGGUUGU